rnacentral:rRNA from 1 species
UGCCAGACUCCUACGGGAGGCAGCAGUGGGGAAUAUUGCACAAUGGGGGAAACCCUGAUGCAGCGACGCCGCGUGAGUGAAGGAGUCUUUCGGUAUGUAAAGCUCUCUCAGCAGGGAAGAUAAUGACGGUACCUGACUAAGAAGCCCCGGCUAACUACGUGCCAGCAGCCGCGGUAAUACGUAGGGGGCAAGCGUUAUCCGGAUUUACUGGGUGUAAAGGGUGCGUAGGUGGCAGGGCAAGUCAGAUGUGAAAGCCCGGGGCUCAACCCCGGUACUGCAUUUGAAACUGUCCAGCUGGAGUGCAGGAGAGGUAAGCGGAAUUCCUAGUGUAGCGGUGAAAUGCGUAGAUAUUAGGAGAAACACCAGUGGCGAAGGCGGCUUACUGGACUGUAACUGACACUGAGGCACGAAAGCGUGGGGAGCAAACAGGAUUAGAUACCCUCGUA